UACGGAGGGGGCUAGCGUUGUUCGGAUUGACUGGGCGUAAAGCGCGCGUAGGCGGAUCGUCAAGUCGGGGGUGAAAUCCCGGGGCUCAACCCUGGAAUGGCCUUCGAGACUGGCGGUCUUGAGUUCGAGAGAGGUGGGUGGAAUUCCGAGUGUAGAGGUGAAAUUCGUAGAUAUUCGGAGGAACACCAGUGGCGAAGGCGGCCCACUGGCUCGACACUGACGCUGAGGCGCGAAAGCGUGGGGAGCAAACAGG
rnacentral:rRNA from 1 species